UUAAGUCAGGGGUGAAAGACGGUAGCUCAACUAUCGCAGUGCCCUUGCUACUGACGGGCUUGAAUAGACUAGAGGUAGGCGGAAUGUGACAAGUAGCGGUGAAAUGCAUAGAUAUGUCACAGAACACCGAUUGCGAAGGCAGCUUACUAUGGUCUGAUUGACGCUGAGGCACGAAAGCGUGGGGAUCAAACAGGAUUAGAUACCCUGGUAGUCCACGCCCUAAACGAUGAACACUCGCUGUUGGCGAUACACAGUCAGCGGCUAAGCGAAAGCGUUAAGUGUUCCACCUGGGGAGUACGCCCGCAAGGGUGAAACUCAAAGGAAUUGACGGGGGCCCGCACAAGCGGAGGAGCAUGUGGUUUAAUUCGAUGAUACGCGAGGAACCUUACCCGGGCUUGAAAGUUAGUGAAUGUGCCAGAGAUGGCACAGUGAGCAAUCACACGAAACUAGGUGCUGCAUGGCUGUCGUCAGCUCGUGCCGUGAGGUGUUGGGUUAAGUCCCGCAACGAGCGCAACCCCUAUGUCUAGUUGCCAGCACGUCAUGGUGGGGACUCUAGACAGACUGCCUGUGCAAACAGAGAGGAAGGAGGGGACGACGUCAAGUCAUCAUGGCCCUUACGUCCGGGGCUACACACGUGCUACAAUGGACGGUACAGAGGGCAGCUAUACAGCAAUGUAAUGCCAAUCUCAAAAAGCCGUUCACAGUUCGGAUCGGGGUCUGCAACUCGACCCCGUGAGGUUGGAUUCGCUAGUAAUCGCAUAUCAGCAAUGAUGCGGUGAAUACGUUCCCGGGCCUUGUACACACCGCCCGUCAAGCCAUGGAAGCUGGGGGUACCUAAAGUACGUAGCCGCAAGGAGCGUCCUAGGGUAAAACCGGUAACUGGGGCUAAGUCGUAACAAGGUAGCA
rnacentral:rRNA from 1 species